UUUCGCAAUGCCCGAAAGGGUGACGAAGCGACGCCGCGUGCGGGAAGAAGGCCUUCGGGUUGUAAACCGCUGUCGGGAGUUAAGAAAUGCAAGGGUGUUAACAGCAUCCUUGCUUGACUAAGGCUCCGGAGGAAGCCACGGCUAACUCUGUGCCAGCAGCCGCGGUAAUACAGAGGCGGCAAGCGUUGUUCGGAAUUAUUGGGCGUAAAGAGCACGUAGGCGGCUGUGUAAGUCGGUUGUGAAAGCCUUCCGCUCAACGGGAGAACGGCAUCCGAUACUGCAUAGCUUGAGUGCGGGAGGGGAGAGUGGAACUUCUGGUGGAGCGGUGAAAUGCGUAGAUAUCAGAAGGAACACCGGCGGCGAAGGCGACUCUCUGGCCCGUAACUGACGCUGAGUGUGCGAAAGCUAGGGGAGCAAACGGGAUUAGAUACCCCGGUAGUCCUAGCCGUAAACGAUGGGCACUAAGUAGAGGGGUUUUA
rnacentral:rRNA from 1 species